AGACGUAGGGGGCAAGCGUUGUCCGGAAUCACUGGGCGUAAAGGGCGCGCAGGCGGCCUUAAAAGUCAGCUGUGAAAUCCCUCGGCUCAACUGAGGGCUUGCAGUUGAAACUCUAAGGCUUGAGUGCAGGAGAGGAAGGUGGAAUUCCUGGUGUAGCGGUGAAAUGCGUAGAUAUCAGGAGGAACACCGGUGGCGAAGGCGGCCUUCUGGCCUGUAACUGACGCUGAGGUGCGAAAGCCGGGGGAGCGAACAGGAUUAGAUACCCUGGUAGUCUCGGCUGUAAACGCUGGGUACUAGGUGUAGGAAGUUUAGACGCUUUCUGUGCCGCAGUUAACGCAUUAAGUACCCCGCCUGGGGAGUACGAUCGCAAGGUUGAA
rnacentral:rRNA from 1 species